UUCCGUCCCGACGCGUUUAUAUAGCGCGGGUUCCAGUUACACAUAUUUCCGAUUCCAUCAGUUCUCGCGUGUAUUGUUUGAGAAUCUUGAGGAAUCUUUGUGUUAUAGUUUGAGAAAAUUCAAUGUCUCAACCAGCAGCAACGACGAAGAAUCGGGUGGAAUCAGUUGGGGAUAUGGUUGCUCCUCCUCCACCGCCACCAUCGUCGUCAUCGAAAAGUUCAAGAAAAUGCGCCCGCUGUCGAAGCUCGAAACGAAUUGCUUCACAGAACAAAGCGAAUUUCGAAAAAAGCGCUGCUCCUUUCCUGUUCAUGUACUAUCGCAAUAGUUCUUGGCUAAAUUUCUCGGAGGAUGUUGUGAAAAAGCUGCGAGCCGGUUUCUUGGAACGGAGACCGAUUAUCGAAGCGUCUAUCGACGGUGCGAAGUAUUUUUUUGAUUUGAAGAGGAUGGUGCAGAUCGAUUACGUGACAGGAAAUCAACGAUCGAUUUCUUGGAUCGAUGAAAACCACAAGUGUUUUUUCCCUAAUGUUUUUUACAGCGAAGAAGAAAUUACGGAAUCUGAAAAUGAAAGUGUAAGCGGUGAUAAUAUUGGCUGCAAUUUCAAAGAUAAUAGUAACAAUUGUAAUGCUAAGAUUGAGAUUGAGGUUAAGAUUGAUGGAGCUUCAUCGAAGAGAAAACGAGACGAGCCUGAAGUGAGUUCUGCUAACAAAGCCGUAGAUGUGAUUAAACGUCAGCGUUUGGAGGAUGGGGGAGCUGCUAGGUGGCCUGACUCGUUGCUGUUGAGAGAAACAGAAAAAGCUUAUGUGGUUGUUAAGGGUCAUUUCUUGAAUGGAAUGAAGAAAGCUGAUGAUGGGGUUACGGUUACUUCAAUUCAUCAGUGUAAGCAUCAAGGGCAUAUGAAUAAGGCUCGUCGUAAGGCUUUUGAGAAGCAGGUGGGGAUCACUAAGUCCGCGAGAGGUACUUCAAAUAUAGUUUAUGCCUGGUAUGGGGCUGCCGCCAACGUUGUGGAGAGUGUUCUGGCUCAUGGCUUUGGGAUGCCCAGCAUUGUUCCCGCGGCUGACGUUUGCGGGGUUGGCAUUUAUUUGUCGUCUUUUCAGUUGCCACAAUUGAGUGCAAAGCUGGCUGAUGCUGACGAUAAUGGUGUAAAACAUCUUAUUCUGUGCCGGCUUAUAUUGGGAAAUGUCGAGAAAUUGGAAGCAGGAUCUAAACAGUAUCACCCAUCUAGUGUGGAUUUUGACACCGGUUCUGAUGAUCCUGAGAAUCCGAAGUGGUAUGUGGUAUGGUCAGCUAAAGCGAAUAUGCAUAUUAUGCCCGAGUGUGUUGUGAGUUUCAGAGCUUCUGGUAACAUUCAUGGUCAACCGAGGCCUGCUGCUGGUGUUGUGUAUUCCCUUGCGAGCUUGUUUUCAAAGAUUAAGAGCUGUCUUCCUCCUGCCAAAGUGCGGGAAAUAUGGAUUUCAUACAGCACAUUCAAGGCUGGAAAGUUGGCCAGGGAUGCUUUUCUAAGGCACCUACGACUGGUUGCUGGAGAUGAGAUUCAGACCUUUUGAAUGAUGAAAGGAAGCCUACUUGAAUAAGAAUCUAAGCAUGAGUGCUGAGCUUCCUUUCUAGUUAAGAAGCCAUCAUGAGAUUGUGGAAGCUGCCCAACGCAUGCAAGAUGUCAGGGGGUUUUGGCCAAAAGCUUAACAAGGGAGAGGUGAACUUCCAAAGUGAAACUAGCCAAUGCUUUUACACCAGAAGCCUGAUGAAGGUAUGUGAGAGCAAAAUAUCCUGUUAAAGCACAUGGUAGGACUUGAAAAGAGGAAACUAUCACACUGAGUUUGCAACAAAGACAGAUUUUCUCCUGUGUAUCAGAAAGGACCGUUCAUAAUAUUUGAAAAUAGAGCGAUACCUCUCCUCCCUAUUUGCCUCAGCAGCUCUUGAUACAACUAAAUGAACAGAAUUAAAACUGGCUGCCUUUCCGAGCAAGGGUAUCAGGACAUCGAUUCACCUCCUGAAAAAGGUAUGCUUUACUGGCUCCGGUACCGUUCAUUGGAGAGAGACCUGCAUUUUUAGAAUUUGAGAUAAAAGACUGAUAACUGCAUGUUGCAUCCAGCUCAAAUUUCUGAAUUCCUGUGAUUAACUUAUUUAGAUAAAAGCUAAAUUAUCCCUGGAGGCCUAUAACUCAGCUUCAAGCCUUCAACACUAACAAACGUCAACCAUGACAAGAAUCUGAGCAACUAAGAAGUGUACUAAAUUUUGCAACUGUAUGGGCAAUUUCCUCACUGUGACUGGACUUUAUUUUUCCGAGAAGAGAAAUGAAGUGGAAUACCAGCUAUGCAGUCCACUAACUUAAAAAAGACCCCAUACCUAGAUUGCUUGGAAAAAGCAUAUAAAAACAAAAUACUACAUACAUUUGCAAUCAAUUGUUCGUCCUUCAGUUGACUUUCUGGGCUGUAACCAUUUGUUUGUUUCUUUUUUGUUUUAUCUUCUUUUGUCCGACCCAUUUAACUCAUUCCUGUCAACUCUAGAGUCUCGAUGAAACAUUAGAAGACGGAUUUCUUCCAUCUCAUAAACU